GAUGAACGCUGGCGGCGUGCUUAACACAUGCAAGUCGAACGGAAAGGCCCAAGCUUGCUUGGGUACUCGAGUGGCGAACGGGUGAGUAACACGUGGGUGAUCUGCCCUGCACUUCGGGAUAAGACUGGGGAACUGGGUCUAAUACCGGAUAGGACGAUGGUUUGGAUGCCAUUGUGGAAAGUUUUUUCGGUGUGGGAUGAGCUCGCGGCCUAUCCGCUUGUUGGUGGGGUAAUGGCCUACCAAGGCGUCGACGGGGAGCCGGCCUGCUAGGGUGUACGGCCACACUGGGACUCUGAGACAGCCCAGACUCGUAAGGGAUGCAGCAGUGGGGAAUAUUGCACAAUGCGCGCAAGCCUGAGGCAGCGACGCCGCGUGGGCGAUGACGGCCUUCGUGUUGUAAACUCCUAUCGCUAGGGACGAAGCGUUUUUGUGACGGUACCUGGAGAAGAAGCACCGGCUAACUACGUG
rnacentral:rRNA from 1 species